rnacentral:rRNA from 1 species
CAGGCGCGAAAACUUUACAAUGCAGGAAACUGUGAUAAGGGAACCCCGAGUGCCCGUAUACGCGGGCUGUCCGGGUGUAUAAAAAGCAUCUGAAGAAAGGGCCGGGCAAGACCGGUGCCAGCCGCCGCGGUAAUACCGGCGGCUCGAGUGGUGACCACUUUUAUUGGGCUUAAAGCGUUCGUAGCUGGACUCUUAAGUCUCUUGGGAAAUCCCGCGGCUCAACCGUGGGGCGUUUAAGAGAUACUGGGAGUCUAGGAACCGGGAGAGGUAAGAGGUACUUCGGGGGUAGAAGUGAAAUUCUGUAAUCCUCGAGGGACCACCGAUGGCGAAGGCAUCUUACCAGAACGGCUUCGACAGUGAGGAACGAAAGCUGGGGGAGCGAACGGGAUUAGAUACCCCGGUAGUCCCAGCCGUAAACGAUGCGCGUUAGGUGUACUGGUGACCACGAGUCACUGGGUGCCGAAGGAAACCGUGAAACNAUGCCGCCUGGAAUACGGUCGCAGCUA